rnacentral:rRNA from 1 species
UACGUAGGGCGCAAGCGUUAUCCGGAAUUAUUGGGCGUAAAGAGCUCGUAGGCGGUUUGUCGCGUCUGCCGUGAAAGUCCGGGGCUCAACUCCGGAUCUGCGGUGGGUACGGGCAGACUAGAGUGAUGUAGGGGAGACUGGAAUUCCUGGUGUAGCGGUGAAAUGCGCAGAUAUCAGGAGGAACACCGAUGGCGAAGGCAGGUCUCUGGGCAACAACUGACGCUGAGGAGCGAAAGCGUGGGGAGCAAACAGG